rnacentral:tRNA from 1 species
GCUUCCGUAGCUCAGUUGGUUAGAGCGUCGUACUAAUACUCCAUCAGAGUGUUCUGUAAUGCGAAGGCCUCUGGUUCAAGCCCAGGCGGAAGCA